rnacentral:rRNA from 1 species
UACGGAGGGAGCUAGCGUUGUUCGGAAUUACUGGGCGUAAAGCGCGCGUAGGCGGCUUUGUAAGUUAGAGGUGAAAGCCCGGGGCUCAACCCCGGAACUGCCUUUAAAACUGCAUCGCUUGAAUCCAGGAGAGGUGAGUGGAAUUCCGAGUGUAGAGGUGAAAUUCGUAGAUAUCGGGAGGAACACCGGUGGCGAAGGCGGCGAUCUGGGUCGAUACUGACGCUGAGGUGCGAAAGCGUGGGGAGCAAACAGG